rnacentral:rRNA from 1 species
AGAGUUUGAUUCUGGCUCAGGACGAACGCUGGCGGCGUGCUUAACACAUGCAAGUCGAACGAUGAAGCCUAGCUUGCUAGGUGGAUUAGUGGCGAACGGGUGAGUAAUACGUGAGUAACCUACCUUUAACUCUGGGAUAAGCCUGGGAAACUGGGUCUAAUACCGGAUACGACCAAUCUCCGCAUGGGGUGUUGGUGGAAAGCGUUAUGUAGUGGUUAUAGAUGGGCUCACGGCCUAUCAGCUUGUUGGUGAGGUAACGGCUCACCAAGGCGACGACGGGUAGCCGGCCUGAGAGGGUGACGGGAGGCAGCAGUGGGGAAUAUUGCACAAUGGGCGCAAGCCUGAUGCAGCGACGCCGCGUGAGGGAUGACGGCCUUCGGGUUGUAAACCUCUGUUAGCAGGGAAGAAGAGAGAUUGACGGUACCUGCAGAGAAAGCGCCGGCUAACUACGUGCCAGCAGCCGCGGUAAUACGUAGGGCGCGAGCGUUGUCCGGAAUUAUUGGGCGUAAAGGGCUUGUAGGCGGUUGGUCGCGUCUGCCGUGAAAUCCUCUGGCUUAACUGGGGGCGUGCGGUGGGUACGGGCUGACUUGAGUGCGGUAGGGGAGACUGGAACUCCUGGUGUAGCGGUGGAAUGCGCAGAUAUCAGGAAGAACACCGGUGGCGAAGGCGGGUCUCUGGGCCGUUACUGACGCUGAGGAGCGAAAGCGUGGGGAGCGAACAGGAUUAGAUACCCUGGUAGUCCACGCUGUAAACGAUGGAUACUAGCUGUUUGGAUGAAAGUUUGAGUGGCUAAGCGAAAGUGAUAAGUAUCCCACCUGGGGAGUACGCACGCAAGUGUGAAACUCAAAGGAAUUGACGGGGGCCCGCACAAGCGGUGGAGCAUGUGGUUUAA